CAGAGCCAAUCCAGAUGGGCAAGUUCAGAGCCUGUGGCCUAACCUAGCCAGUCAGGCGCUAGCCCUGAAGCUCCUCGGGCUUCCCGCCCCACCCUGACUGACCCUGAUGAAGCAGUGACGACACUUAGCAGCUGGUGAUGGUUUGCUGGGAGAGCCUCCAAAACUCAAGUGGGGCCUGCCUGAUGCCGUCACUCUGGUCCUGGGUACGGUUAAGCCUGCUUAUCCAAACUUGUCCAGGAAUAGGGUAUUUGGCCAAUUUGACUUCUACCUCAGGAAUUAACUAGAAAAUAUUUUUGUUGUUGUUGUCUGUCCCCUUCCCAAGGACAGCCCGGCACUGUACGAAUUAGUCCGUGCCUUAGUAAAACCCCAAACGCUGAAGGACGUCUGUCUUUGCCUGUUCGUGAUCCACGCUUCAGGACCCUUCAGAAGGGGCCCAGGUCUCACCAUGUAUGGCCGAUGUAGAGGUUGGCAAACUCCCGCUCCCUACCCAGGUUUCCUCCUCAGGCUAGAGAAACUGUUUUGAACAAAGAAAGGCUCUAGUUUCGUGUUCCUGGAGGCUGUCCAGAACGGAGCCUGGCAAACAGUCCUGAGACACUGCCUUGCUCUGGCUGGCCUGUAGACCUGCCCGGCAACCAGAGAGGCGGCCGCCAGCGUGUGGCAUAAAAACGGGUGUGGCCCCGUGCCAUCGCCUUUGCUCGGGGCUUCAAAAGUGGGUGGCUAGACAGCCCUCAGCCGGCCCUCAAGAGUGUAGAGCCCCAGUGGGACAAGGGCAACAUCAUCAAGGCAGUCCUGUCAGCUUCUUUUCGUUCUCUGCGUUAUUUUGCUUUUGGGAGUCAAACCUUGUAAGGACAGGGCACAUCUGGGGGUGGGGGGGACACCAAGAUACCCACCCUCACGUACUCCAGGGGAGGCUGACCGCAGGAGAUAAUGACCGCCAGCACCUGAGUGCUCCUGUGGACCCGAGGUCAAGCACAUCAGAAGCAUUCUUUCAUUUAACCCUCACGGCCACCUUGUGAGGGUAGCACUAUUAUUCUCCUCACUUCAUGGAUGAGGACACUGAGGCUGGGAGAAGGGACUCCCCGGAGACUACCAGCGAUGGACAGAGCCAGGAUUUUGAACUCAGGCAGUCUGCCUUCAGAACCCAAGCAUAAAGUACUCUCUUAUUAGAAACAGAAUUCUGCUUUCUUCAGCCAGGGUCAGAGCUCCACUCCGAUCAUCCACUUAGUCUCAUUCUUCAAACCUCUCCCAGCUAAGAUGAGAACUCUGCGAGCUGAGGCAGCUGCUCCCAGUGGCACCGGCUUUCCUCCACCAUUUGCCAGUCUGCUCGGCAUGUCAGUCAAUUGGAUCAAAUUUUCCCCGGAACCAGCUAUCCGUUGUGGCCCUUUUCUUCCAACUGGUUUACUGAAAUUUUGAGAAGCCUAAAACUCAACUUCUUUGAAAGCCAGGCUCUCAGGGACAUCACCUAUCAUCGUGCUGGCUCGACUGGUCUUCGUCCUGUUCCCCACCUCCUAGGAGCCCAGCUGCACAUUCACUCCAUGUCGGGACCACAUUUUCCUUCACCUGCAGCUUGCUUCUAAGGCCCACCCUGACCAAGCUAGCUGUGUCUGAGAUUUAUAAUUAAGGCUGGACAUAUAAAGAGAUAUGGUAAAGGGCAAUAAAAAAAAGGAAGGCAUCCUAACUUAGAGGGCUUACUAGCCUCUUCGACCUUAUCACUCAACUUCGUUCCCAUUUUCUUAUUCUUGUCUCUUUCCUAUCUUAGAAAGGGGUGCCUUUAAUAAAUGGGAUGUUGUCC